GACGAACGCUGGCGGCGUGCCUAAUACAUGCAAGUUGAGCGCUGAAGGUUGGUACUUGUACCAACUGGAUGAGCAGCGAACGGGUGAGUAACGCGUGGGGAAUCUGCCUUUGAGCGGGGGACAACAUUUGGAAACGAAUGCUAAUACCGCAUAAAAACUUUAAACACAAGUUUUAAGUUUGAAAGAUGCAAUUGCAUCACUCAAAGAUGAUCCCGCGUUGUAUUAGCUAGUUGGUGAGGUAAAGGCUCACCAAGGCGAUGAUACAUAGCCGACCUGAGAGGGUGGUCGGCCACAUUGGGACUGAGACACGGCCCAAACUCCUACGGGAGGCAGCAGUAGGGAAUCUUCGGCAAUGGACGAAAGUCUGACCGAGCAACGCCGCGGGAGUGAAGAAGGGUUUCGGAUCGGAAAACUCUGUUGGUAGAGAAGAACGUUGGUGAGAGUGGAAAGCUCAUCAAGUGACGGUAACUACCCAGAAAGGGACGGCUAACUACGUG
rnacentral:rRNA from 1 species